AUCUAAUUAAUUUCUUCUUGCAUUUUAGUGAAACAAGCUUGGAAGAAGUUAGAAACAACUUAUGAGGGAGCAAAUCAAAAGAAGGAAUCAAGCUCCUAAGAAGAUAAGGAAGCUCUAUCCAACUUAUGCCUCAUGGCUCAUGAGGAUAAAAAGAAGAUAAAAAAGAAGAAACAAAAGAAGAAAAAAACAUUGAUUAAGAAGAAGCA
rnacentral:lncRNA from 1 species